AAUGAACGUUGGCGGCGUGGAUUAGGCAUGCAAGUCGUGCGGAAAGGCUCCUUCGGGAGUACUCGAGCGGCGAAAGGGAGAGUAACGCGUGGAUAUCUACCCCCUGGACUGGGAUAGCGGCGGGAAACUGCCGGUAAUACCAGAUAACGUCUGCGGACCAAAGGUGUGAUUCCGCCGGGGGAUGAGUCCGCGUCCUAUUAGCUAGUUGGUGGGGUAAUGGCCUACCAAGGCAAAGAUGGGUACCGGGUGUGAGAGCAUGGCCCGGCUCACUGGGACUGAGACACUGCCCAGACACCUACGGGUGGCUGCAGUCGAGAAUCUUCGGCAAUGGGCGCAAGCCUGACCGAGCGACGCCGCGUGCGGGAUGAAGGCCUUCGGGUUGUAAACCGCUGUCAGAGGGGAGGAAAUGCAUGGGGGUUCUCCCUCAUGUUUGACCUAUCCUCAGAGGAAGUACGGGCUAAGUUCGUGCCAGCCGCCGCAGUAAUAC
rnacentral:rRNA from 1 species